rnacentral:rRNA from 1 species
AGACGAACUGUCCAAACGUUAUUCGGAAUCACUGGGCUUAAAGGGUGCGUAGGCGGACCUGCAAGUGGGCCCUGAAAUCCCUCGGCUUAACCGAGGAACUGGGUCCCAAACUGCCGGACUAGAGUGAGACAGGGGUAAGUGGAACUUGCGGUGGAGCGGUGAAAUGCUUUGAUAUCGCAAGGAACACCGGUGGCGAAGGCGACUUACUGGGUCUUAACUGACGCUGAAGCACGAAAGCCAGGGUAGCGAACGGGAUUAGAUACCCCGGUAGUCCUGGCUGUAAACUCUGAGUACUUGGUCGGAGGGGCCUACAUACCUUUCCGGCCGUAGCGAAAGUUUUAAGUACUCCGCCUGGGGAGUAUGGUCGCAAGGCUGAAACUUAAAGGAAUUGACGGGG